UGGCACACCCUGGGUGUCUGCAUGGGGGUUGC
rnacentral:piRNA from 1 species